rnacentral:tRNA from 1 species
UCAAAGAAUAGUUUAAUAAAAAUAAUAAUUUUGGAGAUUAAAGAUAAUUAAUUAUGAUUUUCUUUGAA